GACGAACGCUGGCGGCGUGCUUAACACAUGCAAGUCGAACGGAAAGGCCCCGUUGUUGUUGCUCGCGCGAGGGACGGGCGGGUGAGACGUACGUGAGCAGCCCUUGCCUGCCGGAGAACUACAUGAAAGUGAGGCGAAUACCGAAUAGGAAUCAUUUCUGGAUGCAUGGGGUUGGAAAGCUACCGCGGGUUUGGGUGGACUCGCGGCUUUUCUGCUUGUUGGUGGGGUAGUGGGUUACCGAGGCUUUGACGGGGAGCCGGCCUGCGAGGGCGAACGGCCACAAUGGGAAUGAGAUACGGCCCAGACUCCUACGGGAGGCAGGAGUGGGGAAUAUUGCACAAUGGGCGGAAGCCUGAUGCAGCAACGCCGCGGGGGGGAUGACGGCCUUCGGGUUGUAAACCGCUUUCAGCAGGGGCGAAGCUUGUGGUGACGGUACCUGCAGAAGAAGCACCGGCUAACUACGUG
rnacentral:rRNA from 1 species